rnacentral:rRNA from 1 species
UACGAAGGGGGCUAGCGUUGCUCGGAUUGACUGGGCGUAAAGGGCGCGUAGGCGGUUUGCAUAGUCAGACGUGAAAUUCCUGGGCUUAACCUGGGGGCUGCGUUUGAUACAUGCAGGCUUGAGUUCGGAAGAGGGUCGUGGAAUUCCCAGUGUAGAGGUGAAAUUCGUAGAUAUUGGGAAGAACACCGGUGGCGAAGGCGGCGACCUGGUCCGAUACUGACGCUGAGGCGCGAAAGCGUGGGGAGCAAACAGGAUUAGAACCUACCGAGU